GAUGAACGCUAGCGGCAGGCCUAAUACAUGCAAGUCGAGCGGUAGAGUGACUUCGGUUGCUUGAGAGCGGCGCACGGGUGAGUAACGCGUACACAACUUACCUUCAACUGUGGGAUAGCCCUGGGAAACUGGGAGUAAUACCGCAUGUGAUCUAAGGGCAGCAUUGUUCUAAGAUUAAAGCUGAGGCGGUUGGAGAUGGG
rnacentral:rRNA from 1 species